AGACCUUAGUAGGCCCCGAGACCUUAGCACAACUGACUCCAUGAUGGAAGUGCCAUUCAGGCUGUAAAACUCAGCUUGCCCAUAGCAGCACCACCUGCUAAAAUGAAAACAAAGACUUACUCCAUCGAAGUCCAUGGCUCUGGUUCCCAUUGCCUCUGCUUUUGGAUGAGGAAACUGUCGUUUAAGGAGGACGUCCAAAACUGUGAUUAUUAAUAUGCUG